UCUAAGCCUUCUGAACUUAUUUUAAUCAAAUAUCUUCACCACAAAUGAUCUUUUCCUCAUACCUUAGGUGCCGAACUUUACGAGUGAGUCUUUUUCCUUCAAUUUAGAUCUUUUCUUCAAUCUUCCGCAAUCAACUCUUUCAAGACUCCAUUCAACAUUAUGAAAUCCGCCAACCUAUAAAAUCCUUAACAAGUGACAGCACCAGCUGCAGCAGUCCCUCCGUGAGCAGUAGUUCCAGUAGCGCCAGUUGCGCCUGCUAGGGGGCCAGUACAGUUGACAGAGGCCGAGCAGGAGCGGUGGAUGGAGAGGCUGGCUCGUUUUCGCUGUUUUGAUCCAUCGAUUUUUUAUGGCAGUUGCACUGAGGCCUGGGUUGUUGAGGGAUGGGUCAGUGCGAUGGAGAAGUUAUUUGAGGAUCUGUUCAUUCCUGAGGGGGAGGUGUCGUUGGGAGUCCAUUGCUUGGCAGGUGAUGCCCACGCCUAGUGGAGGAGAGUGAGGAGAGAGUAGGGAUUGGUAGCAUUGCAGCUGAGAUGGGAUGAGUUCUGUGGAAUGCUGUUUGAGAUGUUUUUCCCCAACAGUGUGAAACAGAAGCUCG
rnacentral:lncRNA from 1 species